rnacentral:rRNA from 1 species
UACAGAGGGUGCAAGCGUUAAUCGGAAUUACUGGGCGUAAAGCGCGCGUAGGCCGUCGAGUAAGUCGGGUGUGAAAUCCCUGGGCUUAACCUGGGAAUUGCAUUCGAUACUGCUUGACUAGAGUGUGGAAGAGGGAAGCGGAAUUUCCGGUGUAGCGGUGAAAUGCGUAGAUAUCGGAAGGAACACCAGUGGCGAAGGCGGCUUCCUGGUCCAACACUGACGCUGAGGCGCGAAAGCGUGGGGAGCAAACAGG